GCCUAAUACAUGCAAGUCGAAUGGCUCCGCAAGGGGGCAAGGCAAACGAGGUAGUAACGCGUAGGUACGCACCCUCUAGUCGGGCAUAACCAGCCGAAAGGUUGGAUAAUUCCCGAUAGUCUCGCAAGAGUAAAGAUUUCUCGCUAGAGGAGCGGCCUGCGUAGUAUCAGCUAGUUGGUAGGGUAAUGGCCUACCAAGGCUACGACGCUUAGGGGAGGUGAGAGCCUGGCCCCCACCGAUGGGACUGCGACACGGCCCAUACACCUACGGGUGGCUGCAGCCGAGAAUAUUCGACAAUGGGCGAAAGCCUGAUCGAGCGAUGCCGCGUGACGGAUGAAGCCCUUCGGGGUGUAAACGUCUUUUGCCGGGGAGAAAGUUAUUGAUAGUACCCGGAGAAUAAGUGGUUGCUAAACUCGUGCCAGCAGCAGCGGUAAUACGAGUACCACAAGCGUUAUCCGGAAUUAUUGGGCGUAAAGGGUGCGCAGGCGGUCUUGUUAGUCCUCCGUCAAAUUUCCCGGCUCAACCGGGAACCCGCAGAGGAUACGGCAAGACUUGAGGAUGUGAGAGGUGUGCGGAACUCAUGGUGUAGGGGUGAAAUCCGUUGAUAUCAUGGGGAACACCAAAUGCGAAGGCAGCACACUGGCACAUUCCUGACGCUCAUGCACGAAAGCGUGGGGAUCGAACGGGAUUAGAUACCCCGGUAGUCCACGCCCUAAACGAUGUUCUCUCGCUUUUCGGAGUAUCGACCCUCUGAGAGGCCAAGCUAACGCGUUAAGAGAACCGCCUGGGGAGUACGGCCGCAAGGCUAAAACUCAAAGGAAUAGACGGGGACCCGCACAAGCGGUGGAUGAUGUGGUUUAAUUCGAUGCAACGCGAAAAACCUUACCUACCCUUGACAUGUCAAGAAUUCUGCAGAGAUGUGGAAGUGCUCGAAAGAGAACCUGAACACAGGUGCUGCAUGGCCGUCGUCAGCUCGUGUCGUGAGAUGUUGGGUUAAGUCCCGCAACGAGCGCAACCCUUGUCAUUAGUUGCUACGCAAGAGCACUCUAAUGAGACUGCCGGUGACAAACCGGAGGAAGGUGGGGAUGACGUCAGGUCCUCAUGGCCCUUAUGGGUAGGGCUACACACGUCAUACAAUGGCCGGUACAGAGGGCUGCCAACCCGCGAGGGGGAGCCAAUCCCAGAAAACCGGUCGUAGUCCGGAUCGUAGUCUGCAACUCGACUGCGUGAAGUCGGAAUCGCUAGUAAUCGCGGAUCAGCUUGCCGCGGUGAAUACGUUCCCGGGUCUUGCACACACCGCCCGUCAC
rnacentral:rRNA from 1 species